rnacentral:rRNA from 1 species
AUUGAACGCUGGCGGAAUGCUUUACACAUGCAAGUCGAGCGGCAGCGCGGGGGCAACCCUGGCGGCGAGCGGCGAACGGGUGAGUAACAUAUCGGAACGUACCCAGUCGUGGGGGAUAACUAUCCGAAAGGAUAGCUAAUACCGCAUACGACCUGAGGGUGAAAGCGGGGGACCGUAAGGCCUCGCGCGAUUGGAGCGGCCGAUAUCGGAUUAGCUAGUUGGUGAGGUAAAGGCUCACCAAGGCGACGAUCCGUAGCUGGUCUGAGAGGACGACCAGCCACACUGGAACUGAGACACGGUCCAGACUCCUACGGGAGGCAGCAGUGGGGAAUUUUGGACAAUGGGGGCAACCCUGAUCCAGCCAUUCCGCGUGAGUGAAGAAGGCCUUCGGGUCGUAAAGCUCUGUCGCAGGGGAAGUAACACAAUGAAGGUACCCUGUAAGAAGGAAUCGGCUAACUUCGUGCCAGCAGCCGCGGUAAU